rnacentral:tRNA from 1 species
GGUUUGGUGGUGUAAUGGCCAGCACUCUGGACUUUAAAUCCACUGAUCUGAGUUCACCUCUCGGCAGAGCAU